CCUAUACACAUGCAAGCUACGAACGGUAACAGGGAAAAGUCUUGCUUUUCCGCUGACGAGUGGCGCACGGGUGCGUAACGCGUAUACAAUCUACCUGCUUACAGGGGGAUAGCCUUUAGAAAUGAAGAUUAAUACCCCAUGGCAUUAUAAACCGGCAUCGGUUUAUAAUUAAAGUUUCGGCGGUAGGAGAUGAGUAUGCGUUCUAUUAGCUAGUAGGUGUGGUAACGGCACACCUAGGCAACGAUAGAUAGGGGCCCUGAGAGGGGGAUCCCCCACACUGGUACUGAGACACGGACCAGACUCCUACGGGAGGCAGCAGUGAGGAAUAUUGGACAAUGGGCGGAAGCCUGAUCCAGCCAUGCCGCGUGCAGGAAGACUGCCCUAUGGGUUGUAAACUGCUUUUGUACAGGAAGAAACCUUUCCACGUGUGGAGAGCUGACGGUACUGUAAGAAUAAGCAUCGGCUAACUCCGUGCCAGCAGCCGCGGUAAUACGGAGGAUGCAAGCGUUAUCCGGAAUCAUUGGGUUUAAAGGGUCCGUAGGUGGAUUGGUCAGUCAGAGGUGAAAUCCUGCAGCUCAACUGUAGAACUGCCUUUGAUACUGCCGGUCUUGAAUUAUUGUGAAGUGGUUAGAAUAUGUAGU
rnacentral:rRNA from 1 species